rnacentral:rRNA from 1 species
AGAGUUUGAUCAUGGCUCAGGACGAACGCUGGCGGCGUGCUUAACACAUGCAAGUCGAACGGAGGUUGCGGAGUAGUAAUACAAAGCAACUUUAGUGGCGGACGGGUGAGUAACACGUGGGUAACCUGCCCUAUGGAGGGGGAUAACACAAAGAAAUUUGUGCUAAUACCGCAUAAUGUAUCAUCAGCGCAUGCUGAUGCUAUCAAAGAUUAUAUUGCCAUAGGAUGGACCCGCGGCCCAUUAGCUAGUUGGUGAGGUAACGGCCCACCAAGGCAACGAUGGGUAGCCGACCUGAGAGGGUGAUCGGCCACAUUGGAACUGAGACACGGUCCAGACUCCUACGGGGGGCAGCAGUGGGGAAUAUUGCACAAUGGGGGAAACCCUGAUGCAGCAACGCCGCGUGAGCGACGAAGGCCUUCGGGUUGUAAAGCUCUGUCUUCUCUGACGAAGUAAUGACGGUAAGAGAGGAGGAAGCCACGGCUAACUACGUGCCAGCAGCCGCGGUAAUACGUAGGUGGCAAGCGUUGUCCGGAAUUAUUGGGCGUAAAGGGUGCGUAGGUGGCAGUUUAAGUGGGAUGUGAAAUACCUGGGCUUAACUCAGGGAUUGCAUUCCAAACUGGACUGCUAGAGUGCAGGAGAGGAAAGUGGAAUUCCCAGUGUAGCGGUGAAAUGCGUAGAGAUUGGGAGGAACACCAGUGGCGAAGGCGACUUUCUGGACUGUAACUGACACUGAGGCACGAAAGCGUGGGGAGCAAACAGGAUUAGAUACCCUGGUAGUCCACGCUGUAAACUAUGAGUACUAGGUGUAGGGGGCGAAGCCCUCUGUGCCGCAGUUAACACAAUAAGUACUCCGCCUGGGAAGUACGAUCGCAAGAUUAAAACUCAAAGGAAUUGACGG